UAACGACGGUAAGGUGGUCUGAAUCUA
rnacentral:sRNA from 1 species